GCCUUCGUGGUGUAAUGGUCAGCACACUGAGCCGGUAUUUCGAAGGUCUGUGGUUCGAUCCCCGGCGAAGGCA
rnacentral:tRNA from 1 species